AACAAUGAAUAAAUUGUUAUAUGCUGAAAUUGGAACAACAUAGACUCGGUUACCAUGGCCCCUGCACAAGGAUGGCAUGCAAAUCCCUGAAGUGUUCCAUUAAAAA